GUGAGAGAGAGAGAGGUGCAUAAAAGCUCAUCAUUUAUGUCUAGAUCGGGGUGGAGGAUUUGGAGUCACGAGUCUCCUCUUUACCUAAAACAUGCAUGUCUCGUGUCUCUUCAUUUCUCCUAGCUCAACCAAUCUGAAGCUUCUGGUUGUUCCUAGCUAGCUUUUCUCUUAUAUAUUAAGGUCUUUUCCAACAAAGGCCAAACCUUAUUCUGCUACCUGGUUCAUCUUUCCUCUUCUUUCUGGUUUGUUUGGUUUGAGAGCUUGAAGCUGCCAGCAUGAUCUGGUACCACUAGAGACUAAACCUAGCUAGCUUGCUGUAUAAAUAGAUCCGGAGAAGGUUGAGUGUUGAUUUUGUGUUUAUGCCAUGUAUGUCCGUUUUGAGGUUUAGAUAUAAGAACUGCAUCAAAUAGAUCGGUAAAAGAUGCAGCUUGAUAUAGAAAUAGGUAUUCGAAAUUUAGAAUAGGAUCCGGUUGGUGUUGAUUUUGUGCUAGCUUAUGUCCGGUGGCUUCAGGUUUAGAUAUAAGCUAGAACGGCGAAGAGAUCGAAUAGCAGAAGAUCUAGAUUUAUGUAAUUUGGUCCAUACUUUUGAUGGGGGUAUUUUAGUUUUUGAUAGAUCUUGGUUUGUUUCAUGUUCUGGGAAUUCUGGAGAAAUGGUUUUGAAGUCCACGAGUUCAGUUAAAGUUAAGUCUUAGAUAAGUAUAUAAGGUUACUCUAGCUAUACCAGGUCAUUCUUGCAGCUUCAAACACUCACUCACCAACAGUAUGAAACUCGACCUCUCAACCGAUAUGAAGGUCUUAUGGUGAUUCUCUGCUCGUCCCAAGGAGAUAAGCUUGGAUUCUGCAGGUAAACUCUCUGGUACAGUGGUACUCUUAUUGGUUUUUGAGAAGUUAUUAGAAAGAUCCAUGUACGUGGUCACUCAGAUUCUCAGAAAACACGUUCUCUGAGAGAAGUUAGCUGCAGCUUGCAGACUAUCGUAAAUGGCAAACCCAGAAAUCAAAUAACCAAGUAACCAACUGGGUCGUCGUCUCUGAGGAAAGGGCGCUGCAUGCUUUUACUGUGGUUGGUGUGUGAUUAUGGUGCUGCAUGCUAAUUAUUUUAACUACUACUCUAGUUUAAUUUCAGCAUCAGAUAAUUUACAUGGAUGAAUCGGUCUAUCUUUUCCUCAACAACUAAAGCUAGCUGGUUUUGAAAUGCUUGCCGGAAAAAAGAAGAAGAAGCUAGUUUUGACAUGCCCCGAUCAAACUGCUCAAGUGUAAUGCUAUCAUGCUAUCAAUCAUUAACCUUACUUUGGAGUAAUAUUCCACCAACUAGGUGUUUAACUUUCGUUCAGUAUUUGAUAUCAUAGUAAUUUGUAAUAAAAGUAUGCUUGAUCCAUUUACUUUUGGAUUCAGAAAUUUAUAAGUUAAAGCUCACAUGACCAC